rnacentral:rRNA from 1 species
UGCAAGUCGAACGAUGAAGUCUAGCUUGCUAGACGGAUUAGCGGCGAACGGGUGAGUAAUGCUUAGGAAUCUGCCUAUUAGUGGGGGAUAACGUAGGGAAACUUACGCUAAUACCGCAUACGACCUACGGGUGAAAGGGGGCUUUUAGCUCUCGCUAUUAGAUGAGCCUAAGUCGGAUUAGCUGGUUGGUGGGGUAAAGGCCUACCAAGGCGACGAUCUGUAGCUGGUCUGAGAGGAUGAUCAGCCACACUGGGACUGAGACACGGCCCAGACUCCUACGGGAGGCAGCAGUGGGGAAUAUUGGACAAUGGGCGAAAGCCUGAUCCAGCCAUGCCGCGUGUGUGAAGAAGGCCUUUUGGUUGUAAAGCACUUUAAGUGGGGAGGAAAAGCUUAUGGUUAAUACCCAUAAGCCCUGACGUUACCCACAGAAUAAGCACCGGCUAACUCUGUGCCAGCAGCCGCGGUAAUACAGAGGGUGCAAGCGUUAAUCGGAAUUACUGGGCGUAAAGUGCGCGUAGGUGGUUAUUUAAGUCAGAUGUGAAAGCCCCGGGCUUAACCUGGGAACUGCAUCUGAUACUGGAUAACUAGAGUAGGUGAGAGGGGAGUAGAAUUCCAGGUGUAGCGGUGAAAUGCGUAGAGAUCUGGAGGAAUACCGAUGGCGAAGGCAGCUCCCUGGCAUCAUACUGACACUGAGGUGCGAAAGCGUGGGUAGCAAACAGGAUUAGAUACCCUGGUAGUCCACGCCGUAAACGAUGUCUACCAGUCGUUGGGUCUUUUAAAGACUUAGUGACGCAGU